CUUGAUGAAUUAUAAGAGGUCCAGCCUGCCCAGUGACAUAGUUAAACGGCCGCGGUACCCUGACCGUGCGAAGGUAGCAUAAUCACUUGUUCUUUAAAUAAGGACUAGUAUCAACGGCAUCACGAGGGUUACACUGUCUCCUCCCUCCAAUCAGUGAAACUAAUCUCCCCGUGAAGAAGCGGGGAAUAAAGAUAUAAGACGAGAAGACCCCAUGGAGCUUUAAACCCAACAACAACCUCUAUGCACAAACUCCUAAUAACUACAAAGGUAAUGUCUGUUGGUUUUAGGUUGGGGUGACCGCGGAGUAAAAUUUAACCUCCACGACGAACGGGAUUAACCCCUUAUCCAAGAGUUACUACUCUAAGAAUCAACAAAUUGACGUAAGAUGAUCCGAUAAUUGAUCAACGAACCA
rnacentral:rRNA from 1 species